AAACAACUCUUCCUGCCAUCCAAGGGGCAACUAGUACAUUCUGGACCAUGGGCUGUCAUUUUAGAAAAUGAAGAACUUCCCAAACUGUUUCUUGAUUUCCUAAAUGUGCGACACUUGCCCUCUCUACCAAAGGCAGAAAGUUGUGGAUCUUUUGAUGAAACAGAGUCUGAAGAGUCAAGCAAACUGUCCCACCAGCCUGUGCUGCUGUUCCUCAGGGAUCCAUAUGUCUUGCCUGCAGCCAGCGGUAAUCAAACCUGUCAUCUGCUAACAGCUCUUUACUGAUCUGACCCUGCACCACAUAAACCACGUUUUUAAUACAGGUCUAACAGAGUGACAUUGGUCCCGGGCUUAAUAAUCUGCCAAUAAACCAGUGCUGUUGGUAUAA
rnacentral:sRNA from 1 species